rnacentral:rRNA from 1 species
ACGCACGCUGGCGGCAUGCCUAACACCUGCAAGUCGAACGAGACCUUCGGGUCUAGUGGCGCACGGGUGCGUCACGCGUGGGAACCUGCCCUUAGGUUCGGAAUAACUCCCCGAAAGGGGUGCUAAUACCGGAUAAUGUCUUCGGACCAAAGAUUUAUCGCCUUUGGAUGGGCCCGCGUUGGAUUAGCUAGUUGGUAGGGUAAAAGCCUACCAAGGCGACGAUCCAUAGCUGGUCUGAGAGGAUGAUCAGCCACACUGGGACUGAGACACGGCCCAGACUCCUACGGGAGGCAGCAGUGGGGAAUAUUGGACAAUGGGCGAAAGCCUGAUCCAGCAAUGCCGCGUGAGUGAUGAAGGCCUUAGGGUUGUAAAGCUCUUUUACCCGGGAUGAUAAUGACAGUACCGGGAGAAUAAGCUCCGGCUAACUCCGUG